AUUGAACGCUGGCGGCAGGCCUAACACAUGCAAGUCGAACGGGUGGCGGACGGGUGAGUAAUGUCUGGGAAACUGCCUGAUGGAGGGGGAUAACUACUGGAAACGGUAGCUAAUACCGCAUACCAUCAGAUGUGCCCAGAUGGGAUUAGCUAGUGGGUGGGGUAACGGCUCACCAAGGCGACGAUCCCUAGCUGGGCUGAGAGGAUGACAGGCCACACUGGACCUGGGAACCGGUCCAGACUCCUACGGGAGCCAUCAGUGGGGAAUAUUGCCCAAUGGGCGCAAGCCUGAUGCCGCCAUGCCGCGUGUAUGAAGACGGCCUUCGGGUUGUAAAGUAUUUCCAGCGGGGCGGCGUUCCCCGCAGAAGAAGCCCCGGCUAACUCCGUGCCAGCCGCCGCGGUAAUAC
rnacentral:rRNA from 1 species